AUGGUUUUGCUGGCUGGACGACCUACAGAAUUCUUGUGAAGCUCACUGGGGGGAAAUCAGAAAGGACCGUUAAACAUGAAUGGCAUCCAGUGCUUACAGCUGUACGAGGCCAGGUGUGACACAUUCAACAGUGUUUCUCUAAAGAUGCAGCCAUGGAAGUAAUACAGACCAGUCUGCUCAUUCAUGGAAGAUAGACUUUUCAAAACCAAACUGGAGAAUAAUUAAAACAUAAUGUGGGAGAAAAGCAGGGAAUAAACACUAGAAGAAACAAUGUAAAGUAGUAAGGAGAGGAGGGCACAGGAGAAACGGAGCAGCUUUUACAGCCCAAUCCAAAGGGGGAUCCCCCUCUGGAGCCUGCAUGGGCCUACACCAGUGAAUUUGCUCUCCAUGAGGUACUUAUG